rnacentral:lncRNA from 1 species
AUUAUAAGGCAGUUCAUAGAUGCUGCUGCUGCUGCUGCUAGCAUUUCAUCUGCUGAGAAUCACACUCAGUAGCAACAGCCGUCCAAGAUACAGCCCUGCGGGGCUUUGAGUGUUAACGUUGGGUGCAUAGUGAUGAGGCUUUUUUAAAGCCUUGAAACGGGGCCAACUGGUAAUACCUAAGGAACAGUCUCACACUGUCGCCCAGGCUGGAGUGCAAUGGCACAAUCUCGGCUCACUACAACCUCUGCCUCCCAGGUUCAAGCGAUUCUCCUGCCUCAGCCUCCCAUCUUCAAAUAUUUUUGUACCCUUAUCUUAUUUUUUCAGGAACUCCAGUUUCACAAAUAUUAGCCCAAGUGAAAUUGGCCCACAGAUCACUGAUCCUCUGUUCAUUAAAAAAAAAAUAAAAGUCUCUGUGAUGGUUGAUUUUGGGUAUCAACUUGCCUGGAUUAAGGGACACUUAGGUACCUGGGAAAGCAUUGUUUAUUCUCAGUGCUUCAGUGGGCACUGAGCACAUCCCUUUUCUGCUGAAAGGGAAACCCAGAUGGCUUGCCAUUUGAUUGGAAUGAUUGGGCUCCCCCAGGAAUGUUUGAGAGGGUGUUUCCAGAUGACAUUGGCAUAUGAGUUGGUGGACUGAGUGGGGAAGAUCUAGCUUCAAUGUGGAUGGACAUCAUCCAAUCAGCUGG